rnacentral:rRNA from 1 species
GACGGGUGAGUAACACGUGGGUAACCUGCCUGUAAGACUGGGAUAACUCCGGGAAACCGGAGCUAAUACCGGAUAGUUCCUUGAACCGCAUGGUUCAAGGAUGAAAGACGGUUUCGGCUGUCACUUACAGAUGGACCCGCGGCGCAUUAGCUAGUUGGUGGGGUAAUGGCUCACCAAGGCGACGAUGCGUAGCCGACCUGAGAGGGUGAUCGGCCACACUGGGACUGAGACACGGCCCAGACUCCUACGGGAGGCAGCAGUAGGGAAUCUUCCGCAAUGGACGAAAGUCUGACGGAGCAACGCCGCGUGAGUGAUGAAGGUUUUCGGAUCGUAAAGCUCUGUUGUUAGGGAAGAACAAGUGCGAGAGUAACUGCUCGCACCUUGACGGUACCUAACCAGAAAGCCACGGCUAACUACGUGCCAGCAGCCGCGGUAAUACGUAGGUGGCAAGCGUUGUCCGGAAUUAUUGGGCGUAAAGGGCUCGCAGGCGGUUUCUUAAGUCUGAUGUGAAAGCCCCCGGCUCAACCGGGGAGGGUCAUUGGAAACUGGGAAACUUGAGUGCAGAAGAGGAGAGUGGAAUUCCACGUGUAGCGGUGAAAUGCGUAGAGAUGUGGAGGAACACCAGUGGCGAAGGCGACUCUCUGGUCUGUAACUGACGCUGAGGAGCGAAAGCGUGGGGAGCGAACAGGAUUAGAUACCCUGGUAGUCCACGGCCGUAAACGAUGAGUGCUAAGUGUUAGGGGGUUUCCGCCCCUUAGUGCUGCAGCUAACGCAUUAAGCACUCCGCCUGGGGAGUACGGUCGCAAGACUGAAACUCAAAGGAAUUGACGGGGGCCCGCAC